rnacentral:rRNA from 1 species
CCCUUGACUUUGGGAUAACUUCAGGAAACUGGGGCUAAUACCGGAUAGGAGCUCCUGCUGCAUGGUGGGGGUUGGAAAGUUUCGGCGGUUGGGGAUGGACUCGCGGCUUAUCAGCUUGUUGGUGGGGUAGUGGCUUACCAAGGCUUUGACGGGUAGCCGGCCUGAGAGGGUGACCGGCCACAUUGGGACUGAGAUACGGCCCAG